rnacentral:RNase_P_RNA from 1 species
UCAGCAGGCUAGACAGCCGCCGCGUAACAUGUUUACGGGGAGGAAAGUCCGGGCUCCGCAGAGCAGAAUGCCGGCUAACGGCCGGGCGCCGCGAGGCGACGGAAAGUGGAACAGAAAGCAUAACCGCCGAUGGCCGUGGCAACACGGCACAGGUAAGGGUGAAAUGGUGCGGUAAGAGCGCACCGUGCCGUUGGCAACAACGUGUAGCAGGCCAAACCCCAUUCGGAGCAAGACCAAACAGAAUGCGCUGACGCGGCUCGCCGAGCAUUCGGGUAGGUUGCUUGAGCAUGCUGGCAACGGCAUGCCUAGAGGAAUGGCUGUCCAAGACAGAACCCGGCUUACCGGCUUGUCUGAUGUG